AAAGGCCAGAAGUGACUCCUGCCGUAGCUGCGGCAGGCCUGGAGGCCGUACUGGGACCUGGCCAAAGACCCAGAAGUCCAGCUUUGAAGAAAACCUGGAGAAAGAGAGAGUCACAAAUCAUCUCCAUACUGCAGGAGAUGCAGAAAUGGCGGAAGGCAUCCCUUGGCUGUGACAGUUUCUUGAUCUUCACUUGAUUUUCAUGGUCUUGACACUUUUGAGGACUACUGCUCAGGUUUACAGAUGCCAUUUAUGUCCAGAGCUACUGAGGGUGCCAACAGAUGUCGUUUUGUAAGAAAAGCUCCCCAGAAUUCUGUGCAUCAGACUCAUUUAUGCAAUCUCUGCCUACAUUGGGACCCCACUGAAGCCACGACCCCUAAGGCAGGGCUGGACUGCCUUGCAGUGGGAAACAGCCCAAGUGUCCAUCACGAGAGGAAUGCCUGAGUAUACUGAGGCCAGCCUUACUAUAGAGUCCAGGCAGCAAGUGACAAGGAUGAGGUGGCUCUACAUGUGCACGUGUAGAACUGCCCCCAAGACCUUGCGAAAUGCAAAGAAUAUUGAGUAUCACUUUAGAAUAUAUUAAACAACCUAUCAAGAUUAAUGAGCUUAUUCAGAAAAGAAAAUAAGUCCUGAUCAAUUUCAGCGUGUUUGUACCAGCAGAUUCCAGGUGAUGGAUAGGCAGCUUCAUUUUAAUAGUCUGUUGGUACAGGGUGACCUGUAGACUUUCCAGAAGAGGUAAAAUGAAUCCUCCGGUUGUCACCCCCUCCUUCCUCGCUCCAAUUCCAUCAUUAAUCCCCGUUUGAGGAUUUGAGUGCUGCCGAGGACUGACAGACUCCAUGAGGGUCAGCUGCUGCCUGGUACAUGUGGUCACCUGCAGCUUCUUCAGCCCCACAUAUAUUUUGUGCUGUUUUAGACUGCUCUUUCUUCCAUUAAAUGAGAGAUUAGAUCUGAAUGGCCACGUGAUCUUCUGAGUGCCAUCUGUAAGAAUCUGCAUUUCCACGGAAUUGGGGGAGCAAACAUUCUCAAAAGAUUCUUAAAUGCAAACCCGCAGGCACAGCAUGUGUCUGUCAACUCCAAGAGCAUUUGGAUGUUCGAAGGGAGAGGAUGUUUGACAUCUAACCCGUCGUGGAAAGAGGAACCUCUACAGUGACAUGAAGGCAAUGGAUUCUCAGCAUUACAAGGCAAGACAGAACUUGAAGGAAGAAGGCUGGGAGGAAACCAAGGUUGAAUGAACACUGACUCUGUGCUCAGCCCUGAGCAAGCAGUGGAAAUGCCCCUGGGCUGUGAGCCAGGAAUUCAAAUCCCAGCUUGUAGAGCUGUUCUGGGGGUUAGAAGUUUGGGGUCCCUCAUUGCUGCACUCAUUCCAGGUUUGGGGCUGGCGCUGCCCUUCUGACCCCUCCCUAAGAUGGACACAGGAGAAGGAGUGGGGAGAAGAAACAGGUGGCCAGAAGACACCUCGUUGAGGGCUCCCUCUGCUUGCAACAGGACCUGCUGAGGUUGCAGUUGAAGUGCUGGUCUUCCCAGAGAAAAUAACCCCUCAUUCUCAAAGGAUGAGAGUGAGCCCUAUGGGGCUGCAUGCUCUUGGCCAUGGGAGAUCAACUGUGGUCACAUAGAGUGUAAUCAGUGUGUAUUUAUGGAUCACUCACUACAUGCAAGACUGGGACACGGCUGGGAUUUACUGUGGGGCUGAAAGCAAGUCACUUAAAAAGGUAAAAAUUCAUGUCCUUUUAAUCUACUUUUCAGCAGGGAACAUCAUGUCUGAAUGCUCGUGGCCUCUGCCUGCCUCGUGGGAUGGUGCUGGAAAUUAUACUCAUGUUUAGAUAGCAUUCUCUGCAAGUGGCUGCUGUUGUCCUUCCAUCAUCAGCACAGGCAGGUGCUGGGAGUACCCACCUUGGGGUGGGGUGGCAAGAGAGGGCCAGCUUGUAUCUGCCUCGUUGUCGUCCUUCCUUCCUGACUUGACUCUCUCCUCUGUGGCCUUCUCAGGAGUGGGAUGUGGUUGUGAGGAGAAUGUGUACUUUACCCCUCACCAGUCCAGAGAGGGGCACAUAGCCCAAACCUCUCCCCUUCCCAGAAACCUGCAAGUCCCCCUGGGUGCGCCUGUGUGAUGAGGCAGGCUCCGAGAGCCACAGGCUGGUGGGCCACUAGGGAAGCAGUAAAGGAAGACAUUUUAUGAUUCUAGCUGGAGAUAAUGAAUUGAAAAGCUGGUCUCUGUUUCUGGAAAUGAUGCCAGGAGGCCCUCAAAAUAAACGCCCACCUGUCCUUCAGGUCUCAACACCUGUU
rnacentral:antisense_RNA from 1 species